rnacentral:rRNA from 1 species
UACAGGGGGUGCAAACGUUGCUCGGAAUCAUUGGGCGUAAAGCGCACGUAGGCGGUUCGUUAUGUCGGAUGUGAAAGCCCUUGGCUUAACCGAGGAAGUGCAUCCGAAACUGGCGAGCUAGAGUACGAAAGAGGAUCGCGGAAUUCCCGGUGUAGAGGUGAAAUUCGUAGAUAUCGGGAGGAACACCGGUGGCGAAGGCGGCGAUCUGGGUCGAUACUGACGCUGAGGUGCGAAAGCGUGGGGGAGCAAACAGG